UGAACGCUAGCGGCAGGCCUAACACAUGCAAGUCGAGGGGUAACACGAGAGAGCUUGCUUUCUUGGUGACGACCGGCGCACGGGUGCGUAACGCGUAUGCAACCUACCCUGUACUGAGGGAUAGCCCGGAGAAAUCCGGAUUAAUACCUCAUAGUAUUAUUCUUUCGCAUGUUAGAAUAAUUAAAGAUUACGGUACAGGAUGGGCAUGCGUCCCAUUAGCUAGAUGGUAAGGUAACGGCUUACCAUGGCAACGAUGGGUAGGGGGCCUGAGAGGGUGAUCCCCCACACUGGUACUGAGACACGGACCAGACUCCUACGGGAGGCAGCAGUGAGGAAUAUUGGUCAAUGGACGCAAGUCUGAACCAGCCAUGCCGCGUGCAGGAAGAAUGCCCUAUGGGUUGUAAACUGCUUUUAUUUGGGAAUAAACCUCUCCACGUGUGGAGGGCUGAAUGUACCAAACGAAUAAGCACCGGCUAACUCC
rnacentral:rRNA from 1 species